GAUGCAGUAGCUCAGCUGGAUAGAGCAACGGCCUUCUAAGCCGUCGGUCGGGGGUUCGAAUCCCUCCUGCAUCGCCA
rnacentral:tRNA from 1 species